AUUUUAUUAUUACUUAUUUUAAUCAAUGUCCACCCUGCUAGCUAGGCUUGAUUAAAUCUUUAGUUCUAAGGUAAAUUAAACAUUUCAGUUUGUAGUUUAGUAAAAGGGGACAUUUUGGACAAAGCUGGGAGGGGCCCAUCCAGUAACUAAAAAAAAAACCAAUAUACCAUCUGAUACCAUUGAUCAUUGAUUAGGGGGAGGGGUAGUACAGAAAUACAAGAGUUUGAAACACAGGAACAGAUAGGUAUGUGGGUAGGCGGGGACAGUAGAGCAGGGGGAGUGCAAAUACUGACUAUAUACCAGUUUU
rnacentral:lncRNA from 1 species